rnacentral:misc_RNA from 1 species
AAUAACUAGAGCUCGUCUCGAUAACGACUAUUUCUCAAACGUUCAAAAAUGGCUUUAAUAGUGAAAAAUGGUUCGUAGUGUUUAAAAAGUAGGGUCUGUCACUUUAAUAGCAUUAUAUUAUAGCUUUAGUAGUGCUGGUACAUGCUACUGUAUUUUUUAAUACUAGAGGUAUUCUCUUUUAAAUCUUGCACCCAGUCCCUCCUUAAAAACAUAUUGCAUCCGCCCCUGCAGGAUAGAAGCAGAUACCCCACCCUGUAUAUAAAAUAUAGCUGCAUUUAUUAAAAAAAUCUAUAAAUCAAUUCAAUCGAUUUGUUCUUUUUUAAACUACACCACACAUUCGUGAUUACAAUCGCUUGUAACAGCCCGGAGGUUUACCUACAACUUAAGUAUGAUGUCACAUAAUGGCGGGCCUCGGGCACUAUGACAUUUGGAGAGUGCUCAAUGUAAUGUCUACAUUUUACACGAAAGGCCAACAAUGAGGGUCGUGAGACUUCAUAGGAUAAAGGUAAAAACUGUGUUGUUUGCCGUCUUCUUUUGUACGGGAUUAUGUUUCGUAUACAACAGCUGGUCUUUAGUAAGUGGCUUUGAGUCGUCAGGGAGUCUGUCGGACAGUCAUUUGACUUUACGAUUCAAGAGAUUUGCUGAAUAUCGGCGAACGGAGAAGCAAAGAACGGGUCCCGGCGAACAUGGUGAGCCAGUUCAUUUGGAGGGUGAGGAAAAAGAAAAGGCCAUGCGUCUCAUGUCAGUUGAAGCCUUCAACAGGAUCGCCAGUGACAAGAUAUCUUUAGAACGAGCGGUACGAGAUAUGCGCGACCCGAGAUGUAAAGACCUAAAGUACCCGAAGGAGUUGCCGUCCGCCAGCGUGGUCAUCAUCUACCACAACGAGGCGUGGUCGCCGCUGCUGCGCACGGUGCACAGUGUCAUCAAUCGGUCGCCGCCGCAGUAUCUACACGAGGUUGUCCUGCUUGAUGACUUCAGCGACAAACCCCACCUCGGACAGAAGUUAAAAGACUACGUAACUUCCACAUGGCCAGAUGGCAUAGUGAAAAUGGCGAGAACAACAGAACGAAGCGGUCUAAUUCGCGCCAAGAUAGAGGGAGCCAAGGUGGCUACUGGUGACGUCAUAAUAUUCCUCGACUCUCACUGUGAGGCAAACAACGGGUGGUUGGAACCCAUUCUUGCCAGAAUCAAAGAAAAUCGCAAGACAAUCAUUUGCCCAAUUAUUGAUUCGAUAAACGAUAAUACAUUGGAGUAUUCUAAAAAUGGUGGAUACAAUAUUGGCGGGUUUUCUUGGAGCAUGCAUUUCACGUGGCGCGACAUACCACAAAGGUUGCAGGCCAAUCGGAAAUACACCGAUCCAAUAGAGUCACCAACGAUGGCAGGGGGCCUUCUUGCAGUUGACAGAAAAUAUUUCUUUGAGAUCGGCACUUACGAUCCAGGAAUGGAAGUAUGGGGUGGGGAAAACCUGGAGAUUUCUUUUAGAGUUUGGAUGUGUGGAGGAAGGAUGGAAUUUUUACCAUGUUCCAGAGUUGGACACAUUUACCGAUCAAGUCAUCCGUACACCUUUCCAGGUAACAAGGACACUCACGGACUGAACUCUCGUAGAGUCGCCGAGGUGUGGAUGGAUGACUAUAAGAGACUGUUUUACAGUAAUCGCAAAGACUUGCUUGACAAAGACUAUGGUGACAUUUCGGAGAGAAAAGCACUAAGAAAGAAACUCGGCUGCAAAGAUUUUAAAUGGUUUUUAGACAACGUGUAUCCUGAGAAGUUUGUAGUGGAUGAAAAUGUCAAAGCCUGGGGAAUGGUUCAGAACAGACCCAGCAGCCUGUGUUUCGACUCUCUACACCGAGAUGACAAGAUAGAGUAUGAUGUCGGUUUGUACUAUUGUCAGGGCGGAAACAGCAUGAACCAGGUAUUUUCUUACAGUACAAAUGACGAAUUACGUAGGGAGGAAGUGUGUCUGAAUGCAGGAGCUGAAAAUGGCACUGUAGCCCGGAUGUUGACCUGUGAUAAAGAUAAACCAACCAUGAAAUGGAACUACAAUAAGUAAUGUACGACGAUGGUGAGCUACGACGUGUGGUGGAACGAGCUGACGAUCGUAGACAAAAAUGAAGGUCGCGAUGGCAAAAGGAGCACUGAUCAAUAAGGUGACCGGGAAGUGUUUGGACAGGGGCAGUGUGGGAAGUGGUGGGUUGGUCGUCGUCAACACUUGCACAGGCGCAGAUUCUCAGAGAUGGACAUUUCAACACGUCGU